GUUGUGUUCUAUUUUGAUAUUUUCCUGCCAUAAUGUGGUGUCCAAUACUGAUGAUCAACAUACAGAGAUGACAUCCACAUGGAGUAACAGAACCCAGAGCACUCUUUGUGGGCUCUGAAGGAGGAUGUGUAUAUGUACACGCUCAGUGCGGACGGCCAGGAGAAACUGGGAUCCCCAGAGCACUGUCUCAUUGGCAGGCCACAGCACAACACAUGAAACAGGAACAGAGAACAGGGUGGAUGUCUAAAAUUGAAGUCAACGGUAAAAUUUCCAUUGACUUCACUGAGGCCAAGAUUUCAUCUUAGUGCUCAUUUUCCCAGCUUCUGUCAUCCAAACCUCUCCCACAGAAAAGCAGCGCUAGUGCAUAAUUUAUCACUACUCUGCUAAUUUUCAUCCUCAUUUAUAGGUAAAUUAAUGAGAGCUCCAUCUUCUGGAAUGGGUUUCCUUCAGGAUUGCACUGGCUGAAAUGUAUAUCAGGCUGAGCUUUGCAGCUCCACAAAAGCUACUAAACACCACAUGGCUGAGCUAAGGUCUUUCAAGAACAGAGGUCCUUUUGCAGAGUCGCACUGCAGAAGCUUGGUUUCAGCCCUUCUAACACUGAGGUAUUGUACAGGCCUGACAGUCCCUGUGCUGUGCAGCCCUGAAGGUCCUGGGACAGAAAUAAAACUGAUGUUUCCUGUAAUAAUGCUUUUCACUGACAGAGAUUUUCAUAAGUACCUUACAAAACAAUUGUAUGUAGUAGGCCGUCUUUGGUAUUAGCCUGCUCAGUACUACACAUUCUCCCAUUUCCCUGUUUUGACCCCUUUUCUCCCCUACCCCCCUCCAGAAGUAUGCCUGCUCUAGCCUAGAAUCCAGGAUUCUAUGAGGGGAAAAAUGUGAGAGUUGGGAAAGCAUCAUCCUAGUCCUCCCCCCCUCCCCCCCGCACCUUUUUUUUUUUUUGCCUGCUGUUAGGCAGAUAAUUGCCAGACACUGGAAAUAUAACUCCUGAUGUAAGUUACAGUCAGCAACAAAACCUGGAUACACCAAAAAAUGUGCUCCCAAAAAUGUUUAGAAUAUGGGUAGGGGAAAAAAAUCAGCUGCUGUGCUUUUAGUGCUGUCAGGGCCGGCUCUAGGCACCAGCAAACCAAGCACGUGCUUGGGGUUGCACAAUUCCAGGGGCGGCAUUUGGAUGGGGGGUUUUUUGCUCCGGCAUUUGCGCUCUCGGAGGUUUUGUUGGGUUUUUUUUGCUUGGGGCAGCAAAAAACCUAGAGCCAGCCCUGAGUGCAGUAUACUUUUUUCUUUGUUUUUACUUUUACUAAUGACAUCAAUUAAUUUGACUGCAGCUGUUAAUCAUGUAGCUGGACACUUAUCUUGUAAUGUAGAGUUUAACUGGUUUUUUUUUACAUUUUAGAAAGUAAUGUUGCAUAGCUUUUUUUUUUUUUUAAUGAAAGUGAAAGUCAAGUUCUGCUUUCAUUCCACUUUAUACCUGUCCUCUUCCAAAGAGCAACUCUCCUCUCUAGUGCCUCUAGCCUGUCUGUUUCAUUUAGUGCACCUACUUCCAGACCAUACAGUAAUACUGUUAGUACACUGGUUUGAUACAGUUUUCACUUUGGUACCAAACACAAUCUUUUCAUCAGUCUCUGAUUCCAUCAACUUCUUUGCAGCACUUAUAGUUGAAGCACAUCUUUCAACCUCAUUCUUUUGCACCGAUCCAGCUUCCUGUGUACACACAAGAUUUUAAUAAAUGCCAAGAAGACAAAGUGGCUGUAUCUUGGAAAAGGGACAAUAGAUGGAGAACUAAAAUGCAGCAGUGGUGAAGUUGUAGAACAAUUUCAUAAUACUGUAUUUUAAGAAAAACACAGUAUAGGAAUAUGACUGUGUGCACUUUACACUAUAACUGGUAAGCAGGAGUUAAAACCCUCUAAUGUUAAAUCAGAGGCUCCUGCAAGUGCUGUCAGGAUUGCAAGAGGCUGCAAGCACUUAAUUCAGUGAUUGCAAGUAACCAGGCAGGAAGACCUAAUAGUUCAGUAAGAACUAUAUGGAAGAAUACCAAUGAUGCUAACAAGCAGCCAGCAAGUAGCUAGUCCUCACAAGAGUAGAAACAGAUGCUGAAAAGAAGCUUAGGCAGAAUGAAGAUUUGAGAACCAGCAAGCAAUCACCUUGGCACCCUUGUCCUUUUGACUAUGGCUACCGGAAGCUUUCCCCAGUAUAUUUCAGUUUCUGCUGCAGGAAACUCUUUUGCUCCAUAUCCUGUAUUGGAAUAAACUACACUUCAAACCCAGGUACAGCAGUAUCCUUGUUUUAGCCACCACAGCACUUGCAAGACUAUCACAAAACACUGUUUACACUGGCAAGGAAGCCACGCUAACUAGUAUUAAAACCUUUGGAUACUGCAAACUUAUUCUUGACUCCUUAUUUAAAUUACCUUCCCAUUCCCAUCAGCAGGGCCGGCUCUAGUGUUUUUGCCGCCCCC